GAUGAACGCUGGCGGCGUGCUUAACACAUGCAAGUCGAACGAGAAAUGAUAUUACGAUCUCUUCGGAGUGAUGAUUUUAUUUCGAGUGGCGGACGGGUGAGUAACGCGUGAGCAACCUGCCCUGUACCGGGGGAUACCAGUUGGAAACGACUGUUAAUACCGCAUAAGCGCACGAUAAGACAUCUUGUUGUGUGAAAAACUCCGGUGGUAUAGGAUGGGCUCGCGUAUGAUUAGCCAGUUGGCGGGGUAAAGGCCCACCAAAGCGACGAUCAUUAGCCGACCUGAGAGGGCGACCGGCCACAUUGGGACUGAGACACGGCCCAAACUCCUACGGGAGGCAGCAGUGGGGAAUAUUGCACAAUGGGCGAAAGCCUGAUGCAGCGACGCCGCGUGAGUGAGGAAGUAUUUCGGUAUGUAAAGCUCUAUCAGCAGGGAAGAAAGAAAUGACGGUACCUGAGUAAAAG
rnacentral:rRNA from 1 species